rnacentral:tmRNA from 1 species
GGGGACGAACAUGGUUUCGACUGCUUUGUUUUGAACCUGGAUUGCAUGCAGAGUUGAGGAACUCUUAAAAGCCUCACCUUAUAAUUGCCAACAACGAAAUGGCUCUGGCAGCGUAAUAACUGCCUGUGCUCCCUGGAAUCCCUUCUCUCGGGUUUCAGAUGAGUAUCAACUUAGAGAGAAUGAGCCGCGGUGGUGCAUUCAGUGCUGCGGCAAACUUAAACUGAUUGCAACGACCAGGCCAUCCCGUCGGCAGGUAAGGCCUGGGCGUAAUCGACGCCGACUAAGCAUGUAGAGGUCCUUGUUUGCCAUCGUAGGACGCGGGUUCGACUCCCGCCGUCUCCAGUU